ACUCCUACGGGAGGCAGCAGUAGGGAAUCUUCCACAAUGGGCGCAAGCCUGAUGGAGCAACACCGCGUGAGUGAAGAAGGGUUUCGGCUCGUAAAGCUCUGUUGUUAAAGAAGAACACGUAUGAGAGUAACUGUUCAUACGUUGACGGUAUUUAACCAGAAAGUCACGGCUAACUACGUGCCAGCAGCCGCGGUAAUACGUAGGUGGCAAGCGUUAUUCGGAUUUAUUGGGCGUAAAGAGAGUGCAGGCGGUUUUCUAAGUCUGAUGUGAAAGCCUUCGGCUUAACCGGAGAAGUGCAUCGGAAACUGGAUAACUUGAGUGCAGAAGAGGGUAGUGGAACUCCAUGUGUAGCGGUGGAAUGCGUAGAUAUAUGGAAGAACACCAGUGGCGAAGGCGGCUACCUGGUCUGCAACUGACGCUGAGACUCGAAAGCAUGGGUAGCGAACAGGAUUAGAUACCCUGGUAGGAUAGCG
rnacentral:rRNA from 1 species